AUGAUACCAACCCGAAAACCGGGCGACAAAAAGACAACACAUAAAUACAAAUUUACACCGUUCUUUCUAGCUUUACAACUUCAAAAUUUCCCACAUUCUCAGUGAAAAUUUCUUGAAAACAUUCAUUUCCCUCUCACUUUUGGUUUCCCUCCCCUUCUAAAAUUUCUCCCCGACUCGUUUUCCCUCUUCUAAAAUUAUAAUUUGUCUUUCAUUGUUGCGUCGUUUUUUUUUCUCUAGAACCCUAGGUUGCAGGUCAUUAAGCUCGUCUCGUCUUUUGUGACUCGUCUUCUUCGCUGUCAGCGAUGGCUAGUGGUGCUGGCGGCAAGGUCUCUUUCAAGGUUAUCGCACCUCUGAUCCCAAGCUGCCAAUCAAAGUACUUAGCCCUCCAGAAGGAGCUCCUUUAGUGUUGCUCUUAAAUUUGUUGCUGAAUAAUUCAAAGUUCCUCAACAAACUAGUGCUGCAUUCACCAACGGUUAUUGCACUCGAAGGGGAACUUAAAGCUAACGACGGUAGAUCGAGACAAAUCUACAGGGAAUAUGAAAGAAUGUCAAUGUUCAUGAGCACAAAGUUUAUGGAUUUUGAGGGCAUAAUAUCCGAACAUGCAAGUGAAAUGAUGACCUGAUCGAGGAUGU
rnacentral:lncRNA from 1 species